rnacentral:rRNA from 1 species
GACGAACGCUGGCGGCGUGCCUAAUACAUGCAAGUCGAGCGGACUUUCAAGAAGCUUGCUUUUUGAAAGUUAGCGGCGGACGGGUGAGUAACACGUGGGCAACCUGCCUGUAAGACGGGGAUAACUCCGGGGAACCGGGGCUAAUACCGGAUAAUAUCUUUCUUCGCAUGAAGGAAGGUUGAAAGGCGGCGCAAGCUGCCGCUUGCAGAUGGGCCCGCGGCGCAUUAGCUGGUUGGUGAGGUAACGGCUCACCAAGGCGACGGUGCGUAGCCAGCCGGUGCGAGGGAACGGCCACACUGGGACUGAGACUGGGCCCAGCCUCCUACGGGAGGCAGCAGUAGGGAAUCUUCCGAAAUGGACGAAAGUCUGACGGGCCAACGCCGCGUGAGCGAAGAAGGUCUUCGGAUCGUGAAGCUCUGUUGUCAGGGAAGAACAAGUACCGUUCGAAUAGGGCGGUACCUUGACGGUACCUGACCAGAAAGCCACGGCUAACUACGUGCCAGCCGCCGCGGUAA